rnacentral:rRNA from 1 species
AACGAACGCUGGCGGCAGGCUUAACACAUGCAAGUCGAGCGCCCCGCAAGGGGAGCGGCAGACGGGUGAGUAACGCGUGGGAAUCUACCCAUCUCUACGGAAUAACGCAUGGAAACGUGUGCUAAUACCGUAUACGUCCUUCGGGAGAAAGAUUUAUCGGAGAUGGAUGAGCCCGCGUUGGAUUAGCUAGUUGGUGGGGUAAAGGCCUACCAAGGCGACGAUCCAUAGCUGGUCUGAGAGGAUGAUCAGCCACACUAGGACUGAGACACGGCCCAGACUCCUACGGGAGGCAGCAGUGGGGAAUAUUGGACAAUGGGCGCAAGCCUGAUCCAGCCAUGCCGCGUGAGUGAUGAAGGCCCUAGGGUUGUAAAGCUCUUUCACCGGUGAAGAUAAUGACGGUAACCGGAGAAGAAGCCCCGGCUAACUACAUGCCAGCCGCCGCCGUAAUAC